AGAGUUUGAUCCUGGCUCAGGAUGAACGCUAGCGGCAGGCUUAACACAUGCAAGUCGAGGGGUAUAGAGAGCUUGCUUUCUAGAGACCGGCGCACGGGUGCGUAACGCGUAUGCAAUCUACCUUUUACAGAGGGAUAGCCCAGAGAAAUUUGGAUUAAUACCUCAUAGCAUAGCAGCUUCGCAUGAAGCCACUAUUAAAGUCACAACGGUAAAAGAUGAGCAUGCGUCCCAUUAGUUAGUUGGUAAGGUAACGGCUUACCAAGACUACGAUGGGUAGGGGUCCUGAGAGGGAGAUCCCCCACACUGGUACUGAGACACGGACCAGACUCCUACGGGAGGCAGCAGUGAGGAAUAUUGGACAAUGGGCGCAAGCCUGAUCCAGCCAUGCCGCGUGCAGGAUGACGGUCCUAUGGAUUGUAAACUGCUUUUAUACGAGAAGAAACACUCCUUCGUGAAGGAGCUUGACGGUAUCGUAAGAAUAAGGAUCGGCUAACUCCGUGCCAGCAGCCGCGGUAAUACGGAGGAUCCAAGCGUUAUCCGGAAUCAUUGGGUUUAAAGGGUCCGUAGGCGGUUUAGUAAGUCAGUGGUGAAAGCCCAUCGCUCAACGGUGGAACGGCCAUUGAUACUGCUAAACUUGAAUUAUUAGGAAGUAACUAGAAUAUGUAGUGUAGCGGUGAAAUGCUUAGAGAUUACAUGGAAUACCAAUUGCGAAGGCAGGUUACUACUAAUGGAUUGACGCUGAUGGACGAAAGCGUGGGUAGCGAACAGGAUUAGAUACCCUGGUAGUCCACGCCGUAAANCGAUGGAUACUAGCUGUUGGGAGCAAUUCUCAGUGGCUAAGCGAAAGUGAUAAGUUCCCCCCCUG
rnacentral:rRNA from 1 species